GCAAGGUCAUAGACAUAAAAAGGGGAGAAAAAUACAGCAAUUGGGUGUUGGGUGUAGCUCUUGUUCCUGUGUCAUCCUUGGGAUGAAAGCAGAGCACAAGAGAAUGCCACAAGAGGAUGAUGAAUCAGAGAUCAACCUCCUCAAGAAAGAACUUGAAGUCUCUCUGCAAAGAAUUGAUACAUUGGAGAAAGAAAACCAGGAGCUAAAACAGGAAGUAAGCCGUCUGAAAGCCCAGAUAAGUACCCUUAAAGCAUACAAUAAUGAGAGGAAGACUGUGCUCUGGAAGAAGUUACAGAAUUCCCUGGACAGCAACUAUACAGAUGCAUCUCAACACAAACUGUCUGCUUUCAUCAAUGUAUCAGAGCAGGUUCCAGGAACUGAAAAAUCAUCUACCAGAACAAGUUUCCCAGAAUCAACAGCGGAAAAACCAGCGAAGGUUCCAACCCCACCACCGAGACCUAAUUCAGUCACUCCCACUUUGCCCAACAAAGUGAAAGGAAAUAAAGCUCUGCCAUCGCCAGCACCAGCACCGCCACCAUUUCCAUCCAAAUCACUAGCUGGGUCGAGAGCAGUGCGACGUGUGCCAGAGGUGAUCGAGUUGUACCGUUCACUAACUAGGAGAGAUGCUGCCCACAAGGAGAACACAACCAAUCCUAAAGGAACUCCAGCAGUCGCCUCUACUAAGAACAUGAUUGGAGAAAUUGAAAACCGUUCAAAAUAUCUUUCUGCUAUAAAAUCAGAUGUGGAAAGACAAGGGGAAUUCAUCAAGUUCCUUAUUAAAGAGUUAGAAUCUGCAGCUUUUAGAGAUAUUUCCGAUGUGGAGGCAUUUGUGAAAUGGCUAGAUGGGGAAUUAUCUUCAUUGGUUGAUGAAAGGGCAGUGCUGAAGCAUUUCACACAAUGGCCAGAACGAAAAGCAGAUGCGCUGAGAGAAGCUGCUUGCACCUACCGAGAUCUAAAGAGCCUUGAAUCUGAAGUAACACAUUUUGUGGACAACCCAAAAGAGCCUUUGACCCCAGCUCUGAGAAGAAUACAAGCAUUGCAAGACAGGUUGGAGCAAAGCAUUGACAACAUAGAAAGGCCGAGGGAAAGCACAAGCAAGAGGUACAGGGAUCUCCAGAUUCCUUGGGAGUGGAUGCUGGACACAGGGCUUAUUGGUCAGCCGACCAAAAGGACAAAUCUUCAAAGAAAUUACCGGCACAAGCAUUCUUCGAUCCUGUCUGUGAUACAAAUCGAUGAAACUAAGUUCAUUGAAGCUCGCCAGAAAAUACAUGGAAAGGAUAACUAAAGAACUGCAUGCUGAUGAAUGCUCGGGUGAAGAGAAUCUCAUGCUUCAAGGAGUUCGAUAUGCAUAUCGAGUACACCAGUUUGCAGGCGGUUUUGAUGCAGAGACCAUACAAGCAUUUGAAAAUCUAAAGGCGGCUGGCUUGAGUAGAGAGUGAUUUUUCAACUGUCGAUAAACACCCCAUACAUGUCAGAAUUUGAUAAUGGAUAUGUGGUAUAGAAUAAAUCCACCAGAAUUAUUAAGCAUCCUUGCUAGCUAGCUCAUAUUAUUCGUUCAACGAUUGCAAAUGUUAGUUCCAUAUUA